GACGAACGCUGGCGGCGUGCUUAACACAUGCAAGUCGAACGGUAAGGCCCUGCUUUUGUGGGAUGCUCGUGUGGCGCACGGGUGUGUAUCACGUGAGUAAACUGUCCUUGACUUUGGGAUAACUUCUGGAAACAGGGGUUAUUACACGACAGGAGCUCCUGCUACACGGUGGUGAUUGGAAAGUUUCGGGGGUUGGGGAUGGACACGAGGCUCAGCAGCGUGUUGGUGGGGUAGUGGCUUACAAAGGCUUUGAGGGGUAGCCGGACUGGGAGGGUGACCGGCCACAUUGGGACUGGGAUACGGCCCAGACUCCUACGGGAGGCAGCAGUGGGGAAUAUUGCACAAUGGGCGGAAGCCUGAUGCAGCAACGCCGCGUGCGAGAUGACGGCCUUCGGGUUGUAAACCGCUUUCGCCUGGGACGAAGCGUAAGUGACGGUAAUGAGUAAAAAAGCACCGGCUAACUACGUG
rnacentral:rRNA from 1 species